rnacentral:rRNA from 1 species
AUUGAACGCUGGCGGCAGGCCUAACACAUGCAAGUCGAGCGGAUGAAGGGAGCUUGCUCCUGGAUUCAGCGGCGGACGGGUGAGUAAUGCCUAGGAAUCUGCCUGGUAGUGGGGGAUAACGUCCGGAAACGGGCGCUAAUACCGCAUACGUCCUGAGGGAGAAAGUGGGGGAUCUUCGGACCUCACGCUAUCAUAUGAGCCUAGGUCGGAUUAGCUAGUUGGUGGGGUAAAGGCCUACCAAGGCGACGAUCCGUAACUGGUGUGAGAGGAUGAUCAGUCACACUGGAACUGAGACACGGUCCAGACUCCUACGGGAGGCAGCAGUGGGGAAUAUUGGACAAUGGGCGAAAGCCUGAUCCAGCCAUGCCGCGUGUGUGAAGAAGGUCUUCGGAUUGUAAAGCACUUUAAGUUGGGAGGAAGGGCAGUAAGUUAAUACCUUGCUGUUUUGACGUUACCAACAGAAUAAGCACCGGCUAACUUCGUG